rnacentral:tmRNA from 3 species
GGGGCUGAUUCUGGAUUCGACGGGAUUUGCGAAACCCAAGGUGCAUGCCGAGGGGCGGUUGGCCUCGUAAAAAGCCGCAAAAAAAUAGUCGCAAACGACAAAAACUACGCUUUAGCAGCUUAAUAACCUGCUUAGAGCCCUCUCUCCCUAGCCUCCGCUCUUAGGACGGGGAUCAAGAGAGGUCAAACCCAAAAGAGAUCGCGCGGAUGCCCUGCCUGGGGUUGAAGCGUUAAAACGAAUCAGGCUAGUCUGGUAGUGGCGUGUCCGUCCGCAGGUGCCAGGCGAAUGUAAAGACUGACUAAGCAUGUAGUACCGAGGAUGUAGGAAUUUCGGACGCGGGUUCAACUCCCGCCAGCUCCACCA